GAGACACCCUUAUGGGGCAGGACUUGUUUCAGUGGGGCUUUGGUACUUACUGAGUCUGCUCCUUGAGUGUGUCACU
rfam:Myotis davidii contig183793, whole genome shotgun sequence.